rnacentral:rRNA from 1 species
GACGAACGCUGGCGGCGUGCUUAACACAUGCAAGUCGAACGGAAAGGCCCUGCUUGCAGGGUACUCGAGUGGCGAACGGGUGAGUAACACGUGGGUGAUCUGCCCUGCACUUCGGGAUAAGCUUGGGAAACUGGGUCUAAUACCGGAUAGGAACCAUCUUUAGUGUGGUGGUUGGAAAGUUUUUUCGGUGUAGGAUGAGCUCGCGGCCUAUCAGCUUGUUGGUGGGGUAAUGGCCUACCAAGGCGGCGACGGGUAGCCGGCCUGAGAGGGUGUACGGCCACAUUGGGACUGAGAUACGGCCCAGACUCCUACGGGAGGCAGCAGUGGGGAAUAUUGCACAAUGGGCGCAAGCCUGAUGCAGCGACGCCGUGUGGGGGAUGAAGGCCUUCGGGUUGUAAACUCCUUUCGCUAGGGACGAAGCUUUUUGUGACGGUACCUAGAUAAGAAGCACCGGCUAACUACGUG